rnacentral:lncRNA from 1 species
AACUGGAUCGAUGGCCUGAAGGCUUUUACUAAGAAGAUGAAGAAUGUUGUAGAAUAGUGUCCAUCAACAAAGAGUCCUACUACUACCGGUUGGAGAGGCUCUAUCCUCAGGUGAUUGAUUACUUAAGAAGUAUACUGAAUUAUGAUAUCCAUCGAUCUAAUUUUGUAUAGGAAUUUUUAAAAACUAAAGAAUCUGUGGUACAUGAUUUAAUUUACUCAUUUAGAUUUUAGUAAAUUGUGAACGGAAGUUUUUUUCACAAAACCAAUGCACCACCCUUUCUACACACAUCAUUCAUGGAUUGGCAGACUAAAGGUUCUAUUCAACAUCUUUGGUGGAUUGCAUAAAUGGGCUAGAGUAAAAAUAUACCAGAAUUGUUAUAUGUGCUUAGGGAAGUGGGAUUAGAUCAAGAUUUUUUUGACAAAAUGAGAAAUCAAUGGCUCAAGGAGAGUAAGCCCAAAGAGAUAAGUAUUGUUUUCCUUUAGUAGCUUGCCGCAUAAUUCAUUCAAACAUAUUUAGAGUGGAGCAGGAAUAUUCAAACAAGGAAAUGUGCACAAUAUCUGUUAGUAUACAUGUGACACUUUCCCCUCUUUCGACUAAUGAUUGCCUCCUGCCGGGUAUCACUAAUAGCACAUUCAUCACAUCAUUUGGGUAGCUCAUUCUGGUGUAAGUCGGGCCAAUUUAGAAAAGAUUUUAAAGCAGAUUCAUACAGGUUAUAGAAGUCAGAGUCAAAUAGUAUAAUAAGUGAUUUGUUUGUGCAUAAUUUCUAAUUGAUCGUCUUCUAAGGAUAAAUGGAACCGCUACCUUUCCUCUCUCCAAUAAACUAUUAGACCCUGGUUGUAACUAUUUUCAUCUUGGUGUGAUUUAUAAGGGAGGCCAUGCCAUUAGUUUUUUGUUAUUACAUGCUGUGAUGACCCCGAUUCAUUGAUGUAUAGUGUCGUAUGUGGUCAAUUACCUAAUAUGGUAGUUACACUUCUCCUGGUUUGCCUUGGUCUAAAAUCUGACUUUUGGACUGAUUGUAGUCAAUCUGAAUUAGUGAGGUUCUUUUUUCCAACUGUCCAUGUUCAGUUCUCUACAUUAUCAUGCAUUUUCUUUGGUUUAAAGAUGUCAUGAUGUUCACCAAGGCAGAGAAGAAAUGUUUUAAAGUUGUCCCUUCAAUUGAAACAAGUAUGACUUGGUCCUUAGUGCCUAUGCAAACAUGAAAACGGAAGGUCGAGAGGUUUAAAUAUGUCAUGAUGUUUACAAUUGCGGAUAUCCUGCUUCAGGUACUUGCCUGAUAACUCACAAUUUCAACACAGAAGUUACUAAUCUGUAAGACAUGCCCUCUCUCAUUCAAUGAUGUCCUGAAAUUUUCACACAAAGCUUUGUAAUCUUGCCAAGUAACAAGAGAGCCAAGUAAUCAUGCGAAUUUUCAGAGAACUUCAAGUGGCAUGCCACCAUUUGCAAUGGUCGUGAUGUAGUGAUAAUUAAUAAACUGCAGGCCUUCUAAAUAUUCUAAAGUUGCAUAUCUAAGAGCAUAUUAUAUUUCUCAUAAACAACUGGAGUUAAGCUUCUAUCCUCUUCCUGUCUUAAAGGAAUUAUCUGUUGAGUAAGCUAUAGUCUCUUUGUUUGACUAGCUAGGCUGUGUUACAUACAUGUAUAAGAUGAUGCUUCUGUGGCUAUAACUGGUGCCUGCCGUGCUAAAUAGGAAGCACCCUAUUAAUUACCCACCUCAAUUUCAUUAGUGCAUUCGGCCUGUGAAUUUUACCCCAGACUAUAAAUCCCCUCCAAACGAAACCCUAUAGGUGUACUAUGACUCUUAAUAGUGUAUCCUUGUAAAAGUCAGUGUGUUGGGUUAUUUUUUUGGUGUGGUUAGAGAACUCGACUCCAUUUGGAACGAGGGUUUGAGUUUUAUUUUUCCUAAACCUUUGAAAGGCAGAGCCAUGGAAUUAUUUUGUGCUCUCAUUCCUCUGGAUGGAAGCUCUAACUUUUCCUCUUUGUUUCCAAUAAGCUACUUUCUUCGAGAUUGUGCAAUGAAGGAUUUUGAUGGUAAGGGAUCGUAGAGCCUCGGGUGACUAGCAUUAAGAUAGGAAGGCUAUUGCCGCCCUUGUCCCUUGCUGCUGGGUUGCCACAGUGGCGUCAAUCACUGGCUUAUUUAGAACAAUAGUUAGUGGAUUUUGUGAUAAGGGUGAGGGCCGAGAGUGAGAGGGACGGGGUUGGGAUUGUUCUGUUGUAUGCGUGAAAUUAUUUCCCUACUUUAGAAAAUAUGGCAAAUUGCAUUUCAUUAGAGAUUGAUUUACAGCAAAUUGCAUGAGCGAGUGGUUCAUGCAUUUUUCAUCAAGUUGUACAUUUUCUUGGUUACGACAUAAGGGUAAAUGUACUGGUUGGUUGCUUCAAGACUUAAUAACAGACACUAUGACAAUGGCUCAAGAGAUAUCAGAUCUACCUUCUUGGAUGGGGGCGUUAUGGGUGGCGCACGCCUCGGCCCCCUUGAUGGCCGUGGUGGAUGGACAUGAACACGAGGGGGGAUCAGGGCGGAGAGCAGGGUGGUUGGCGGGGGACUCAUCCUUGGCAGUUCAUGGGAAAGUAUGGUGUGAAGCAGAGGGGGCGCCAUGGCGAAGGUGAGGUAGCCGUCAUCCGGUCAUCUGUACUCCUAAUGUCUCAGUUGGUAGUCUCCGCUCACUGGUUAAAUUUCGUCCCACCAACACCGGGUUUUUUUGUCCUCCCUCCCACCUCCCACUCCCAGCUAUUCCCACCGGCUUUAUUUUAUGUGAUCUGAAUCUGAGCGAGUCUUAAAUUUUGGUGCAGUGUGAAAGGAGGAAAAUGAUCACCGGAAAGCAGGUAGAUCUACACCUUGAGAGAUGGCAUUUUGCGGUACAUUGUUUAGGUAAGGAUAUUGUGCUUUCUUCUGAAAACUCUGGACUGUAUAUUGAGUUGUGUUCCAUUUUUUUAAAAUUACUUAGAAUCCUGCUUCUGGCAAUACUAUGAACUGGCAUACCUCGUGAUCAUGAGAGGAUGACAAGUUCCUGAUCCCCAAGAACGCCCUCAUGUGCGGCUGCCGGUCGUCGGACAAGACAUCUCUGACGACUUAGCCACACAACGAACCUAAGUUCGUCAUGGGAGGAUGUCACCUUGGACUGGAGCAACAGACGUCGAAAAUUUACUAGGAAAAAAGGCUCACAAAUAAGAGUGACCCAAACACAAAUUGUCGUACGUUUGCAAUUAAACUCUUAGUAGCAGCUUGAUUCUUACUAUUGUUACUUUGGUGGUGGGUAUAAUUAGUCAUGUAGUAGCAUCUUAGCUUCAUCUUAUUUCUUGAGAUCAUAUCUAGCUAUCAGAUCUUCAAGAGUACACCAUAAAAAUUGAAAGGCCUAUCAGCUUCAUAGAAGAAAGUUAGUCUUAUGAUAGAAGAAAGGCCCAUCAGCCCUUACAGUGCCUGAUUGGUUAGCGACUGCUUUUUAGGCUCAACUGAUUACUGACUACGUCCAACAACAUAUGAGUGACAUGACCAAGUAGAAGUAAAUUUCGUUGUGAUCAAGAUGGUGCCUUUAUUUUGGAAAACACGAUUGAGAUGGGUAGGCGCAUGGGCAUCUCACCGGAACAAAUAGACAGACUGAUUUCACUCAUACACAGGUUGAUUAUAUUAUACGGUCAACUCACGAAGUAGCCGGAUACCUUCUGCUUGAAGUUUGAAAGCCAUUAGCAUGCUAAAUUAUAUGGAUGUGCUGGUCUUGACGUGUGUGCACGUACAUGGUAAAAUAAACUUGAGUAAUGAUUAAUACCUUGUUUACUCUUUUUUUGCUUUACAGGUAUUUGGAUAUCUAUUAUCAUUCAAGAUAUCUUAAGGAGAAAUUUGGUUUUUGAUGAACUGAAACAAUAUACCAAUAAAAAUUUAGCGCUUGGCUGUACAUAUGAAUGUUAACUUUGUUAAAAUAAUUCUCCCUUUAUAAGAGAAGAUUUCUUAGUUCAAAUAUAUUUUUUGAAAAAAUAUAGUAUUUUCCUGACAAUCCUUUUGAUUCUAAAACAUCCAUAUCUCAGAAGGAUAAUAGUGGUGUGUUUAUGUUGCUUUGGGUCUCUUAUCACUCGGAUCAUUCAUCAGAAAAAUAUUUCAAAAAUAAUUCUAUUUUGACGUUUCCUUUGUGUUCAUUGUUCCAUCAUAGUAGUUUAGGUUCACAUCAAACCAGACCAUAUGUUUCAGUUUCACUCUUUGGACCAUGAUGGUGGUGUGCAAGGUGGGCUAGAUCGUAAUACUAAAAGAAUCAAUGGAGGUUAUUGGAUAGCUUUUAGAUUCUCCAAAAAAUAAUCUAGCAGAUGGAUGAUCCUAUUAUCACGUAUGGUGGUGGUGUGCAAGGAAAUGAAGCAGCAUGAUGGUAGCUACUGAUGUUAUUUUCACAUGUAAGAUGUAUGAGCUUCAGUUUGUCAUGCUAUUAUCAUGUAUAGUCAAAAAUGAUUAGUUUAAUCAGAAUUUAGAGUUUCAUUCUUAGUUCCCUGAAAUAUUGUUUUUAUAGGUAAUUCCUGCGGAGUGUAGUAUAUUGGGAGCCAAGGCCGAGUAGCAAGCCAUGUGUCACCGCAAGGACAGGAGCGAGAUUUAAUUAAUUGUAUUUGCAAGAUUUGGUCUUCCCUUCUUGUUUUCCUGGUCAUCUCACAGGUUUUAUCACUUACAUUUCCUUCUAUGGUGGUCUGAUCAUUGUACUUUGGGACAUUGUACUUUUAGGACGUAAUGUGCAUUGUUAUUUUAAAUUGCUCAUGUCUUGAUAUGUCUUUCAAAUUCUUGACAUCUGCCCCAGUAGCCUAAACCUCCAUGGCAUGCUCCAUCGGAGUAUUUUGUUUGUUGUACAAUUUUCAAGUGCGACCUUCCAAUUUAUUUUGUUGUAACUAUAAGGUUUGGACCUCAGAUAAGUUCUCGAAAUACCAAUGUCAUAUUUCAAUUAGAAAAUAAGAUUUAGUUUGAUCAUGCAUGCAAUUGUAAUAACCCUACUUUGAGCUUUUACGUACUGGUUUAAAUAGUUAAAUCUUCUAGAUUCUUUUGCAUAUUUUCUUGGAAUUAUACUA